UGUUUUUUUUAAUUUACCCCCCAAUAAACUCUUUACCGUGUGGGCAGGUCCGUUAUUUAGCGGUUAGGGUUGGAAGCAAGACGGGAGUAGUGUGUAGUUUACCAGGAGCGCCAGCGGUUUGGAAGCGGGAAGGGCUGGAUGGAGACUGGGGUCGGGGCUGGACAGUGCAGGAGGUGCUAACUCGGCGGCGGCGGCGGCAGGCUGGUUGACAUUAUCUCUCUCCAUCUCUCUCUCUCACCCCCUCUUGGAAUCUGCGGGGAGCCGAAAGGGUUAAAAAGAGAAAGCUAGAAAGUCUGCGGUGGCGAUUGAAUGUCCUUCCACCCACCCCCUCCCCCAGACUGCACAAAUCCCCAGCAUCUCUCCGUGGUCAGGGGGGGAAGCUAAGGGUUUCUCUGGUUGCUGGGUGGUCCUGCAGGCAGCUACCUGUGACCGGUGCCACUUCCACCAUGGUCAGGGUGAGCCGCGGCUGCAGUGUAGAGUCUAGGACGCAAUCAUCUCCCGGCUCCGUGCCCUGCUUGGUAGAAGCCACUCGCUGAUUUUUAUUUUUUUGUUGAUUUGGAGGAAGAAGCGUUUUGAUUUUCAAAGAGGGCGAGAAACCCCCCCCCCCCCCCAACAACCAAGUUUGGGGUUGAAACGGUAUGGGUCAUUUCUACGGUGGACCUUUCGGCCUCGGCACCAAGCGAGCUGCGGUCUCCCCGAAAGUUCAGAUCGCCGAGUGCCCGGGUUGACCGCUCUUGCUCCAGUCGUGGUUCAUGCCCGCUGCGGACAACGUGUGGACGAGGCGGAGGAAGGAGGACAAGACCCAGCUAAUGUCCCGGCGGCGAUGACACCGGUUCUACUCAUCGGGAAGACGCUCGGGAGGAGUGGGCGACAGAAAGCAGCAGAAGACGGUGCAAGUGAACGCUGAAGAUGCCAUGGCCACGGUGCCCUGUAACAUAACGACCUCACCAGGACAGUCAAGAGUGGUGAAUCUCAAAUGCAAUUUCUGAAGGCAACAACCAUGGGUUUGUACAGAGACACGGGGAACUUCAGGUGC